CUGGUUGAUCCUGCCAGUAGUCAUAUGCUUGUCUCAAAGAUUAAGCCAUGCAAGUCUCAGUACAAGCCACAUUAAGGUGAAACCGCAAAAGGCUCAUUAAAUCAGUUAUGGUUCCUUGGAUCGUACAAUCCAUUACUUGGAUAACUGUGGUAAUUCUAGAGCUAAUACAUGCAAACAGAGUCCCGACCAGAAAUGGAAGGGGCGCUUUUAUUAGAUCAAAACCAAUCGACGUCAGUUGGCUUGCCAACUGCGCCGUACUCCUUGGUGACUCUGAAUAACUUUCGGCAGAUCGCACGGUCUCAGUACCGGCGACGCAUCCUUCAAAUGUCUGCCUUAUCAACUGUCGAUGGUAGGUUCUGCGCCUACCAUGGUUGUAACGGGUAACGGGGAAUCAGGGUUCGAUUCCGGAGAGGGAGCCUGAGAAACGGCUACCACAUCCAAGGAAGGCAGCAGGCGCGCAAAUUACCCACUCCCGGCACGGGGAGGUAGUGACGAAAAAUAACGAUACGGGACUCAUCCGAGGCCCCGUAAUCGGAAUGAGUAUACUCUAAAUCCUUGUACAAGUAUCAAUUGGAGGGCAAGUCUGGUGCCAGCAGCCGCGG
rnacentral:rRNA from 1 species